AGUGAACGCUGGCGGUAGGCCUAACACAUGCAAGUCGAACGGCAGCACAGUAAGAGCUUGCUCUUACGGGUGGCGAGUGGCGGACGGGUGAGGAAUACAUCGGAAUCUACUUUUUCGUGGGGGAUAACGUAGGGAAACUUACGCUAAUACCGCAUACGACCUACGGGUGAAAGUAGGGGAUCUUCGGACCUUGCGCGAUUGAAUGAGCCGAUGUCGGAUUAGCUAGUUGGCGUGGUAAAGGCCCACCAAGGCGACGAUCCGUAGCUGGUCUGAGAGGAUGAUCAGCCACACUGGAACUGAGACACGGUCCAGACUCCUACGGGAGGCAGCAGUGGGGAAUAUUGGACAAUGGGCGCAAGCCUGAUCCAGCCAUACCGCGUGGGUGAAGAAGGCCUUCGGGUUGUAAAGCCCUUUUGUUGGGAAAGAAAAGCAGCAGGUUAAUACCCCGCUGUUCUGACGGUACCCAAAGAAUAAGCACCGGCUAACUUCGUG
rnacentral:rRNA from 1 species